GCUAGCGUAGCUUAAUUAAAGCAUAACACUGAAGAUGUUAAGAUGGUUCCGAGAGGACACCCGUCAGCA
rnacentral:tRNA from 2 species